rnacentral:tRNA from 1 species
GCCUGGGUGGCUCAGUCGGUUAAGCGUCUGACUUCGGCUCAGGUCACGAUCUCACGGUUCGUGGGUUUGAGCCCCAUGUCAGGCU